rnacentral:rRNA from 1 species
UACGUAGGGUGCGAGCGUUGUCCGGAAUUAUUGGGCGUAAAGAGCUCGUAGGCGGUCUGUCGCGUCGAUCGUGAAAACUUGGGGCUUAACCCUGAGCUUGCGGUCGAUACGGGCAUGACUGGAGUUCGGCAGGGGAGACUGGAAUUCCUGGUGAGCGGUGAAAUGCGCAGAUAUCAGGAGGAACACCGGUGGCGAAGGCGGCGCGUCUGGGCUGGAACUGACGCUGAGGAGCGAAAGCGUGGGUAGCA